GUUACAUGCACAUGAUGAAAACUAUGUUGGUAGGGACAUCUGAGAAGGUGAUGAAUACCAACAUCUCUGAGCUGGAUAU
ensembl:snoRNA